GUGCUCACUUUGGUAGCACAUGUGCUAAAACUGGAGUGAUAUGGAGAAGAUCAGCAUGGCCUCUGUGCAAGGAAGACGCGAAAAUCGGUGAAACAUUCCAUAUUUUU
ensembl:snRNA U6 U6 spliceosomal RNA